GAUGAACGCUGGCGGCGUGCUUAACACAUGCAAGUCGAACGGAAAGGCUCCUGCUUGCAGGGGUACUCGAGUGGCGAACGGGUGAGUAACACGUGGGUGAUCUGCCCUGCACUUCGGGAUAAGCCUGGGAAACUGGGUCUAAUACCGGAUAGGACCACAUUUUGGAUGGUGUGGUGGAAAGUUUUUCGGUGUGGGAUGAGCUCGCGGCCUAUCAGCUUGUUGGUGGGGUAAUGGCCUACCAAGGCGUCGACGGGUAGCCGGCCUGAGAGGGUGUACGGCCACAUUGGGACUGAGAUACGGCCCAGACUCCUACGGGAGGCAGCAGUGGGGAAUAUUGCACAAUGGGCGCAAGCCUGAUGCAGCGACGCCGCGUGGGGGAUGACGGCCUUCGGGUUGUAAACUCCUUUCGCUAGGGACGAAGCGCAAGUGACGGUACCUGGAGAAGAAGCACAGGCUAACUACGUG
rnacentral:rRNA from 1 species